GAUGAACGCUAGCGGCAGGCCUAAUACAUGCAAGUCGAACGGUAACAUUCUCGCUUGCGAGAGAUGACGAGUGGCGCACGGGUGCGUAACGCGUAUGCAACCUACCCUUAACUGGAGGAUAGCCCGGAGAAAUUCGGAUUAAUACUCCAUAGUAUCACCAGAUGGCAUCUGAAGGUGAUUAAAGAUUUAUUGGUUAAGGAUGGGCAUGCGUGACAUUAGUUAGUUGGUGAGGUAACGGCUCACCAAGACAACGAUGUCUAGGGGUUCUGAGAGGAUGAUCCCCCACACUGGUACUGAGAUACGGACCAGACUCCUACGGGAGGCAGCAGUAGGGAAUAUUGGUCAAUGGGCGAGAGCCUGAACCAGCCAUGCCGCGUGCAGGAAGACGGCCUUCUGGGUUGUAAACUGCUUUUAUACAGGAACAAAUAGUCCAUGCGUGGAAAGUUGAGUGUACUGUAUGAAUAAGCACCGCUAACU
rnacentral:rRNA from 1 species